UACGUAGGUGGCAAGCGUUGUCCGGAUUUUACGUGGGCGUAAAGCGCACGUAGGCGGACCGGCAAGUUGGGAUGUGAAAUCCCUCGGCUUAACCGAGGACGUGCAUUCAAAACUGCCGGCCUUGAGUACGAAAGAAGGAUCGCGGAAUUCCCGGUGUAGAAGGUGAAAUUCGUAGAUAUCGGGAGACACCAGUGGCGAAGGCGGCGAUCUGGGUCGAUACGUGACGCUGAGGUG
rnacentral:rRNA from 1 species